rnacentral:tRNA from 1 species
GGGGUUGUAGUUAAAAAUAACAUUUAAUUUGCAAUUAAAAAGUACUUUGAAUAAGUCUUCCUCA